rnacentral:rRNA from 1 species
GACGAACGCUGGCGGCGUGCUUAACACAUGCAAGUCGAACGGUAAGGCCCUUCGGGGUACACGAGUGGCGAACGGGUGAGUAACACGUGGGUGAUCUGCCCUGCACUUCGGGAUAAGCCUGGGAAACUGGGUCUAAUACCGGAUAGGACCACUGCCUGCAUGGGUGGUGGUGGAAAGCUUUUGCGGUGUGGGAUGGGCCCGCGGCCUAUCAGCUGGUUGGUGGGGUGAUGGCCUACCAAGGCGACGACGGGUAGCCGGCCGGGGAGGGUGACCGGCCACACUGGGACUGAGAUACGGCCCAGACUCCUACGGGAGGCAGCAGUGGGGAAUAUUGCACAAUGGGCGCAAGCCUGAUGCAGCGACGCCGCGUGAGGGAUGACGGCCUUCGGGUUGUAAACCUCUUUCAGCACCGACGAAGCGCAAGUGACGGUAGGUGCAGAAGAAGGACCGGCCAACUACGUGCCAGCCGCCGCAGUAA